AGUUAAUGAUCUUGAAUAAGUUUAUAUUUUGAAAAUAUAAGAUAGAUUUUUCUAUUAACUU
rnacentral:tRNA from 1 species